rnacentral:rRNA from 1 species
UACAGGGGGGGCAAGCGUUGUUCGGAAUUACUGGGCGUAAAGGGUUCGUAGGUGGCCACCUAAGUCAGACGUGAAAUCCCUCAGCUUAACUGGGGAACUGCGUCUGAUACUGGGUGGCUUGAGUGCAGGAGAGGAAUGCGGAAUUCCAGGUGUAGCGGUGGAAUGCGCAGAUAUCAGGAGGAACACCGGUGGCGAAGGCGGGUCUCUGGGCAGUAACUGACGCUGAGGAGCGAAAGCGUGGGGAGCGAACAGG